GAUCAAUUCAGUAUAGAUGUCUGUAUGAGGGAUAUACUGACAAAGAAAGGCCCAGGAGCCCAAAACAGAAAAUAUUAUAAGCAAUAUUUUCAUGGAUAAUGAAGCCUAACAAGGUAACCUAGAGAUGAGAACUAAAUUGGAAGGUAGAGAAUUAAAUUCAGUGUAAUUUACAGCUGAUUUUAGACAUAGGUCGAAACUGACCUUUAAUAUAGUGGGUGCGUAGUAGAAGCUAACACAGGAGGAAGGUUAAAUCAAAUUAAAACUAUAUAUGUAUAUGUGUAUGUAAUUUAUUUAUUCAUUUUUUAUCGUAAGCAUGUGCAAUUGGUGUGUUUUUCAGUGUUGUGGCUGCCUGGUGGGACACAUAACAGCUUCAUCCUACACAACUGCUGGCACUCAUUUGGAUAACUGAACAGUAAGAGAUGACUGGCUUGAGAUUAUGGCUUUUUUACAUAACUGCACGUGUGUAAAGUACACAUUUGCAAUUAAUGUAGGAGGUUCUGUACUUGAGACAGUGUUUCCUCACUGUAUCUGUGACUUAUGACUCCAGUGACCUUAAAAACAUGUGUGUUAAAAAAAUGUGGCUAAUAAUGACACCUACUGUAAGUAGAGGCUCAUACUGUUAUAGAGCAUGGUGCGCUUAGGCCGAGUCACACCACCACCCACAAAAAAUAAAGCAUUUCACUUCACACAAAUCAACUUCACACGUAAAAAGUUUUUUCCUUUCUUUCUCUCUCCUUUUUCUGUGCAUAAGGAUUAAAUAUCUAUACCAUGUAAUGGUAAUCAUUGACUACUUAUGGACAGUGUUAGAUGCUACGUAAGUAGCCGGAGCGCACUGUCAGUUUACAGAUAAUUUGCACUUAAGAACUUACAAUCAAAUCGAAUUUUUGUGCAGCUUUCAUGAAUCAGAUGUAGUUUUGUAGUAACACGGACUUGCAUAUUAACUUACAUUUUAUGAAUAAGACCCAAUUGUUUUGAAACACAUUAUUUUAAACAUGCUUAUGAAUGUGUCUCUUCUGCCAAAUGCUGCUAAAUACCACAGACUGCACCUUUAAAAAUAAACAAAACAAACAGAUAAAUAAAUAAAUACUUCUGUACUUAUUAUUGAAGUGCCCACUAGUGACACCACUAGUCUGUGAAGCACAAAGAAAUCAUCAUAACAUUGCUGGUGCAAAGAACUGUGAGAAUAUAAUAUAGCAAUUUACAGCAGUGAUUAUCAAAAACAACAAUUUACUGUAGUUCCUGUCAAUUGCAAAGCCGAGGCAGUGAAGAGGAGACGUGGAGAUGAAGGGUGGGACAAACAGGGGAUAUACAAGACGGAGAGCACACACAACAAGAUGAUUGAUGCAACCGAUAAAUGGAGGCGAUUGUAUGUGGGCCUCAUUUCAUUAAAGUUGCAAUUGAUUUUACUAAAGCUAAGCAUUUACUCAUGUUAGCAGGGCGGGUAAGCCAUGCAUUUAAAUAGGUCUCAUUAAGUGAGCAUGCAGCUUAGUGUGCCAGGUGUGUAUUUUGGGAUAUGAUUGAAUUUUGAUGUGGCUGUUGACUCGCUGAAGGAAGGAAUACACUAAUGUAUGUUCACUGUGCCAAUACUCGAAGACUCCAUUCUUGAACCAUUUUGUAUGUGAUUGAAGGAGGUAAUUUAUACGUCUGCUGCUCUAUGAAUACACAAUCUACUUUACAUUCAUACCGUGAGUCCCUGUUAAACACAUCUGGUGCACUCAUUUAUUCAAAGGAAGAUGACUACGAGCAGAACAAACACAAGCGACAUCAGAAUCUGAGACGUUUCAAAACAGUAAUGCAGGAGACAGUGUUAAAAAAUUACAUUAAAAAUUACAACCAAGUGCUUUGUUACUGAUAUUAGACAAAUAGAAAGGAAAAUGAUCAGCAGCAAAGGGCAACAGGUUGGGAUAGAACCCAAGUGACCUGGUUGGUGGAUUUGACCAGUGGUGCAAUUCCACUAGGCUGAACUGGUGGACAUCGGGAGGUAGAGCGGCCAUCCAAUAACUGCAAGGUUGGCGGUUCGAUCCCUGCCCUAUUCCGAGUCUGUCCGUUGUUUCCUUGGGCAAGACACUUAACCCACUUUGCUCCCAGUGUGUGUUCUCCACUGGUGUAUGAUUGUGAGUGAUGUUUGGUGGUGGUCGGAUUGGCAGCCACAUUUCCGUCAGUCUGCCCCAGGGCAGCUGUGUCUACUGAGGCAGUUUGCCACCACCAGGGUGUCACUGUGUGAGCGAAUGAAUAAUGUAUCCAAUGUCAAGUGCUUUGAGGGGCACUGAUAAAGUGCUAUAUAAAAUCUGAUGCAUUAUUAUUAUUUACAAGAUAGGGAAAGAUAUCUGUGAUUCAGCAGCUCUCUGUGAAAGCACGACAGCUGCCUGUGGAGGACACUACUUUGGCAGGAGUUAUUUCUCUCGUUGAUGGUACCUGUUUUAGCUGUUGUGUAAUACGCCUGUAAUAUUUUCCAAUUUCUUCAUCAUCAACAGAUCAACACCACUCGAAAGGCUUACCAUCUUCUCAAACACUAAUUUCUGUUGGCUGUAUCACUUACUUUAGAACUGGCUUGUCUACAGUUCCAUACGUCCACAAUGCAACUAAGGGUGCCUUUGCCAUGAGAUGCUUGGACAAAUUUCUCUGUUUUUUUGCAGCCCACUGAGACCAUAAAAUUUUGAAUUUUUCCUAUCAUCUUGCCCGUCUUGGCCUGAAUAUUCCCAAAUGCAAAAAAAAUGACAGAUUAAACCCCAGUGGGGUACUUGUACUUUCAGCAUUCAUAGAAGUCAUGGAUGGGAUAAUUGCAUCAGCUAGUAGGUUUAAGUUAUAGUUCCAUAUGCCUUUAUUGUUUUUGAAUCACUCAUGUGUUGUAGUCUCACCUUUUAGAUUCACGUAAUAUAGAUAGUGCAGCUCGAAAAUACUCCCUUUAUGAAUUGUAAGUUCUGUGUUGAAUUGGGUCCUACCCAUAAACAGAAUAUACUAAGGACACCUUUCGCCAAUAUACAGAUUUGAAGCCAAAAAUAUAUAAUUAAAAAAAAAAUAUAUAUAUAUAUAUAUAUAUAUAGUUUUUCUCCACUUCCUGAAACUCUCUUCAUACACCCAUAAGCUAUAUCAAGUGUCAAUCAAUAAAAACAUGAACCCCCUAAUAACUUUUAAAAAGGAAGCUGUACAGAAAAAAGGACUUGAGCACAAACCAGUCUUACAAUAACGACACGACAACAUCGUAAGCGGGGGGAAAACAUUAUGCUCCGUGUAAUAAAUUUCUAAAGUUUGACCACAACUCCAUAAGGAUGGCUGGAGGAGGCAGGAUUUAUGACCUAUACUGCAGCCUGUCACCAGAGUGUGCCGUUCUUGGGGUGGCUUCACCCAGCAAGGAGGCAGAUGCUGUCCAUUCUAUAUACAGUCUAUGGUCCUACCUACUAGGUUUGGGCGACAAACUGAAAAUUUACCAAUACUGAAAUUUACGACAUGUCAUAGACGUGACUCUACCUUGUCCGGUCCGUAACAAAGUAGUACGUAACAAGUAGACGAAGUUGAUGUGGGAGGGGGUGAACAGCUUGUGGAGAAGUUAUCGUCCAUUUAUCGUUAUCGAGGUGAGCUGCUCAAUAUAUCGUGAUAUUGAUUUGAGGCCAUAUCGCUUAGCCCUACUACCUACAGUUCCUUCCUUAACUUCCAUUCUAAGCAGGCCUCAAUUAUGGAGGAGCAACAAGUCAUGUGAAAUCUGUCUUCUUACCUGGUUGACCUCCCAAUAUUAGAUGAACUCAGGAGGCUGAGGCAUGAAGGAUGGAAGUGGCUCUGACAUCCAGAAUCUUCUCAUCAGGUAACAUUGAAGGUCCACAGAGCACUUCAAGGAAGAUUAUGUUGGAUUUCUGUUGAAGGAAUAAGAAUGGAAGUAAGUCAUGGAGUCAGACAGGAUCAUCCACUGGAGCAACUGUUUUUUUCACCAGCGUAGAUACCAGCGUAUGGGCUUUGUAGGUUGUUUGCGAACCAUUCCCAUCAUUAAUCACCACAAUCUUUGGGAACAAAAUGAGCCUAUUCCUUCCAUAUUGGAGUUGAGCUCUUACUUGAAAAUUACUGAACAGGACAAGAAGAGUUUGUACAAUGAGAGACAUCUUCCGUUAGCAUAUGUUCCCUCCUCUUACCAGAAAAGAGACUCAUCCAAACCCUCCACCACGUUUUCCUGUCCCUCUUGUUUUCUCCCACCUCUUGCUGUUCAGGGAAGCAUUUGUGUUUAUAUCAGCAGCUAACCAGGAGGAAUUCAUUUAUCAGGCUUUCCUCUGCUCUGCAUCUGAGCAGACACACAUCCAGUGGUGCAGCCAAUAAAGCAAUUGGUUCUGCUGCAGCCUGAGGCUAACAGACUUGGGUAUAUCUGCCUCUAACAGACGGAUGAGCAGGGACUACAGUCCGGUACAGUAAUAGCUCACAGUGACAAACUAUAUCACACUUAUUUUGUGGAUGCAGCUCAUUCAUCCUGACUUCAAUACCUCAUGUUGCCUGUAUUAAGGACCUUUCAGUAGGUCAGUUCACAGUUUUUUUCCUAACCUUAAUUGCUAAAAUUGUUAUUACCACAUCAGCAAUUAUUAGCAAUUACUUACAAAUGUAGCACAUAACCUAUUACCAUUGACUUUCUAGAAAAUUAACACAUUGCUUUAUUUAGGUACCCAGUGCUGUUGCACUACCAGGUGCAUCACUUGCAAAUACCCCCACAACAUCACCUGAUACACACUUCACUGCAUAAGUAUGCCAUCUAUUUGUAUCUGGUUUUUUUUAUAAACUACUUGAUCUAAAGUUCAGGCUGCUUGGUCAGGGUUCGAGGUCUUUGGCUACUUUCCUUGUGUUAGCAUGUACCCUGAAAGAUUUGAUUUAUGGUCAGGUCACAGUUUACACUUUACGGUCACAUUCUUGCCCUCCAAUCCCUUUAUCUGUAUGAGUGGCUGUUUGUUCACAGUAAUGUAAGACUGCUUUGAGUAUAAAGCAUAAAACAAACUGUAUAAAAAGAUUUUUACUGUCUACAGUUCCUUGGUAGACAUUCAGUAUCUUUAGCCUGUUUUCACUUAACAAGAUUACAGUAAUUAUUUUAUAUUAGGAAUAGGCCUUUCCGCCAAUUUAUGCACUUUAAGUAAAGAUGAACUGAGAAGGUCUUGCUUUGCUAGGAUGCCGAGGUCAAUAGUCACUUUCUCAGACCUCUAUUACCUCAGGGCCCCAAUUUUCUGCUGACAGUCCUUGGUUCACUUACUUACACCUUGACUGAGCUUGGUGGUUGGUGUUAUUGCUUAAAGUGUUACUGUUCAAUGAUACAGUCAGCCCCUACACAAUCACAUGUCAGCUGUUGCUGGAGGUGCUGAAGCAGAGUGCCCCUGCAAACCAGCGGCAUCCUGACAAUGUAUAAACCUGGGGUAAUAAUGGGAAAUAAGUGGGUAACAUCCUAUCUUUAAAAAAAAAAAAAAUUCAAUCAUUUUACCGAGGAAGUAUUUCAGAGCUACGUGAGAGGAAGAUACAAAAAGACGGACAUGAAGAGGUAAUAUAACCAAAAUGCCAAGCAAAUGAAAAGAUGCAAUCUGCCGCAGCAAUUCAAUUUUGUCCUUGACUUAGCAGCAGCACACAAAGGCUGCAGAGUGGCUGCAUUAACAUAUGCUCUAUUUUAAUGAGAGGACAGAUGGUGGCCCAUCAUUUGGGAUUUUAUCUCAACUGUAGCUAUAGCUGUCUCCCGUGACUUUGCAGCAGUGAGAGAAUAAUGCAAAUAACUUUAUCUGUGCUGCCAACGCAUUGCCUACAGUGUUCUCCCUACCUUGCUCUGCCACAGCUGUUAUUUGAGGCUGUCACAGCUUCAUUAGCGUAGCUGCAGUGCUCGAUCUAGGAGUAUGCAUUUUCAGGGACUAAGAUCUUCAAAAACUAAUUUUAAUAAUAACAGCAACACCAAUAAUACUACUCAUAAUCAUAUUAAUAACUAUACUUCUACUACUACUACUACUAAAAAAUAAAAUAAAUAUAAAUAAUAAUAAUAACAAGAACAACAAUAAUAAUAAUAAUAAUAAUAAUAAUAACAACAACAAAAAAAAUAAUAAUAAUAAUAACAAGAACAACAAUAAUAAUAAUAAUAAUAACAACAAUAAUAAUAAUAAUAAUAAUAAUAAUAACAACAACAAAAAAUAAUAAUAAUAACAAGAACAACAACAACAACAAAAAAUAAAUAAAUAAAUAAAUAAAUAAAUAAAAAUAAAAAAAAUAAAAAUAAUAAUAAUAAUAAUAAUAAUGAUAAUAAUAAUAAUAAUAAUAAUAAUAAUAAUAAUCAGAGUGGCUGCAUUAACAUAUGCUAACUUGUAGGGAUGCACAGAACCGAUUUUUUUCUUUUAAUUAAUAUCAUACACAGCAACACAGUGAUUCUGUUCACUCUAUAUUCUAUGUCUGCCUAUCCUUUUGCACUAAAUGUUUACAUGGAAGUCUUACUUCUUUUUGCUGUGUGCUAAUAUGCAAUCUGAUAUUUGUUAAUAAAUAAUAUUAAGUCAAUUUAUAUCUUUGUUAAUUUGUUACCUUUUUUUUUAAACAAGGAUAAUGUCAAGCCUGAUGCCUUCACUCACAGGGAAAGGUAUACAGUUAAUUCGUUCAACAGUAGUAUUGGAUUGGUAUCGGAUAUCAGCCGAUAUACUCAACCCAGGUAUCGGUAUCAGAUUGGGUCGGAAAAAAAUGGAUCGGUGCAUCUCUUGAUGUGCUUAUCUAAGGUAUUUUUAUCCUGUUUGGGCUUUUAAACUGUUCUUCAUUGGAGUAUUAGGCUCAAGUAAACAUAGGUAAUGCCAAUCAACUACGCUCUAGGCAUGUAGACGGCCUGAGCAGAAGAAAUUCUCUUUAUUUAGAAUUAAAGGUCUAUUCUGCAGUCUAUUACAAAGCAAGAACUCCCCCGCCCCUUGUCUUAAAAUAUGAACUAAAUCAAGAGCGUUCAGCUUAUAAAGGAGUGUCAACUCAUACUACAAAUGGACUUUUUAAGUGGCCCUCUCCGGACAAUUCUAUAUUGGUUUUUGGUGCAGAGUGGUUGCUUCUAUGAAUCACGGUGGCCAGGCCUCAUCUGAAGGUCAACCAUAUAAGAGGCUGGAUCAGACAUGAGGCUCACACAAUACAGACCCUUAUCAUUAUUCACUGCCAGGCCACUGGGGGAGAUGUGAUGCUUAAACCUUAACAUUUAUUACGGCUGCCCUUGACGCUCCACGCCGCGGCCAUAUAAAGUCAUCGAGCAAAAUAAAAAUGACAUCCCAGGGAGAGCAUGUGUUUUAACCUCUAUUGGCUUGAUGCUCACAAAUAAACAGAGAAACACCUCAAGGAAACGUCGCCUUGUUUUCAUGUGAUAUCUAAUCAAUUACAAUUACAAAAGAGGUUAAACUGGAACAAUAUAUCCAGAAGUGUUUCCUAUACUUCCUUAAAAAAUAUAAAUCUAAUGAUUGCGAGCGCAUGGUGACAGUGCUUGCUGGGAAUUAAGUAGCCACUGGCUCAGUCGCCUUAUUGCAUGUCUUUUAUUAUGUUUCUGAUUUGUUGAAUUUAUUAUCCAGAUCGCCAUAGCACUGCAAGAAGUGUCUUUAUCCUCCGAGUCUGGACUCAUAAAUCAAGCAAGAAGGGGAAUAAAGCAUCAGAAAAUUCAAGACAAAAAAAAUUGACAAAGUAUGCUGGAAGUUGCUCAUCAUUAACCACGAACAACAAGGGAAAUUCAAAGAAGCAAACCAUUGCCCCCUGAGGCAUGUAUCUUUCUCACAUAAUAGUCUUUGGCUGCAGGGAAUGCAAAGUGGCUAACCUUCAAUUUCCACUGCAUCCGGAACAGCUCCGCUACGGAACGGCGACAAUGUUCACCGUCCGCCAAUUCCUACCGGAUGUGUUUGUGAGGUGAAAGGCGCCGGUGAGAAUUAAUACAUUAACUUAAAUGGAAACAAUCAGUUUCGGUCUGCUCAUACGGCCUUUUCGCAGCCGUUCCAGAUGCAGUAGAAAUUGGGGGUAAGCCACAUUAAGGAUUUUUAGGUUGGAGACUAAAGCAUUCAAAAACAUGAUUUGUGUGGUGUUUUCGCACAGAUGAAUAAUCUCAGCUCAUUUUGAUUAAUUAUGAAAGUUAAUACAUUUUAAUAGGCUGGGUCUGAUUGUAAAUAAAAAUGGAACAGUAUGUGCUCCAUAAAGGUGUGCCGUCUGCAGACGAGUCAAUCGUUUGAACAGCUCUUUUAAGUGAAAGACGAGAAGGGGUUUACAGUCGUGAGCCGUUCUUACAUGAAAGUUGCAAACAUUUUUUGAACGGCUCUUUGAAAGGAACAGCCCUUCAAAGACCUAUUAAUCUCAUCUCUAAUGCCAGUAUUUUUCAAACUCAGUCAAAAUAGCAAAGAGAAAAAGAAAGAUCAUCUGCAUUCGUUUGGGAAGGUCAGCCACCCUUGGGAUUAAAAUUCACUAAAAUUCAGGGUAUUUAGCUUGUGCUGCAGCGAUUCUGGUCACUUUGAUAAAAGAGCAGACAUCAAAUGAGAGUUAAGAGAUUUACUGUCAAACAUAGAACCUCUCCAAACUACAUUCGGCUCAGUAUAAAUCUGCCAAACAGCAUUCAAGUUCCACUGUUCGACAUAUGUGGUCUGUACUUCAGAUUAGACCUGCUGUCUACAUCUAUAUUUUUCUACAAUUUACAACUGCAGACACCAUUCAAUGUUUAGAUCCUGCCCUCACAAAAUGUGGGAACAUUUGCCGUCAGAUUGAAGAACAUCUGGGCAACCCCACUGAAGGUUAAGUCUGAUUCCUGGGGGCUUCAUAAAGUAAACAGCAGUGACAGGAACAUGCAGAGUUUCUCUCCCUUGGUGUUUUCUCAGACUGCAUUUAAAAACACAACAUAUUCUCUGCUCUGUACACAGGGAGCCAAGUAGAACUGCUUUUUUUCUUGAUGAAUGCACUAGUCAGUGGCAAAAUGUUGUUGCUUGCAAAGCUGUAUUGAUUUUUGCUUCUGCAGGCUUGGUCCCACAAGCCCCCUGCUCUAAAAUCAGGGCAGCAUAACAAAAACCCGUCGAAACUAAAAUGCCAUGGACCCACAGGAAAACAUGCACAAUAAUUAAGGCUGGAAAACAUGUCCACACUGCAAAGCAUGGUAUCCGGUGCCACAGCUCACACAGAUUCCACGUUAGUGACAGGAAAAUUGCUGCUGCAUCCUAUUUUAACCACGACGUGACAAAGCCCUCUCGGUUCAAUAUAGGAGCUCCUGUAAUGAUAUGGAGCAGAAAAGGAGACCCCAAGGUGAGAACGGGAAAGCCCAUGUAUCACAGCUUGGCCGCUAUCUGCACACCCAUUCACAAGCCAUCAGGCCACAGUAAAAAUAAAUUGCAGCACUUCACAGUUCAGUGGAGGGAAAGAGGCUUUUGUGCAAAGUAAAAUCUCAGCUGGUGACACAAAGUGUAGACUGCAGUGUCGACUGAAAAGUGAGCUAACACAUACACCAGCUUUAUGGACAUAUGAACACAAAAAGUGCUCGGUCUAAAGUACAUAGCACAAUAAAGUAAAUCAGGGUAUGUUUUAACACAUUGUGCUAAAUCAAGAGCAGCAGGAAAAGAGAUUAGAAUUAGUCUCUUUAUUAUUCAAAGGUGGAUUUUGGUUGUAACAAAAAUCAGACCAGUGUGUCUGCUCCCAUUGCCUUUUCAGGCUUGUUGCUAUUUACAUAAGAGAUUUCAACCUUUCACCAACUCAAGCUAGCACAGUUAACUAACCUAUUUCCAUUGCCCUUCUAAAAAUUCUGAAAAUGUAUGCUUCAUUCCAGUUGUACUCGGAAGUUGGAAUUUUCAAGCUCAGAGUCAGAAAUUAAUCUGGAACGCACCCCUGAAGUCGGAAAGUCAGACGAUCCUUACCAACGCCGACUUGACAACAACAGCGUAAUCCAAGAUGGCAGCGCAGUGCAUCAACAGUAAAGAGUAACAGUGAAAGCUCUCGUUAUGUAUUAUUUAUUAGCACUUCUGUUUUGUUUUUGUGAAAUAAAAUAAGUGGUAUAUGUUGUAAUGCCCAAUGUCUAACUGUGAACACGGCGCUAUGGUGUUUGUAGAGUAAAAUACUGUUAUGCAUUGUUUACAACUGGUAUCGCAAACGACAACUAACGACAACUGACAAUUAUAAACAACAGCUAACAAUGGGUAACUGUAGGCGUCUAUGUUGGUUUUCCAACUUGGUAACUGGAGCGCCGUCCCAGCUCCGAUAUCGGACUUCCGCGGUAACUGUAACGCAGCAACACUCAGGGUCCUGUUGUGAGUUAUACCGCUGCACUGUUUUAUAAUUAAUCCUGUAAAACAAUCACUGCAGAAACAAAAGUUUCAAAAUGACAGACAUUGACCUGUAAGCAUGAGGCAUGGCAGCAACACUUUAUACAUGCUUAUUUAUCAGACAACAUCUACUGAGAACUUUUCUCUGCGUGUAUUCAAGAGCGUCACAUCAAAGUGGGGGGUGCAGGAUUGGGCAGAGCAGGAUUGGGUCGUUACUAAAGUUGGUAAAACCAGAGAAGCAAGCGGUCAGCAACGUUAAUCUCUCAAAGGGGUCUCUAACUCAGUGUUACGGUGUGUUUGACCCUAAACUAACUUUACGCCGGAGCAACCCUUUAAUCCCUGGACUCCUUUUCUGAGUUUACAAUAACUCAUGGCCACAAUUUGACAUCAGCUUGUAGAUCUUAUGAGGACAACAUCAGAGAAUGAACCAAUUCGGCAGCUCUGUUAAAGAUAUGCCCACCCGGACUGAAUGUUCCUCAGCAGAGAUAAACAGAUUGACAUAGAGUGGAAUAUCCUCUCCUUAAAUGUCUGUUGUGGUCCUGGCUACUGCUCUUAAGUACCGUUUCCGAUCUUGAUUUUUUAGGAGUAAAAGCCCGAUGCCCAGACAAGUGUCUGGAGUGGACCACCGAAAUCCAUCUCCUCACAUGACAUGUCAGAUCUCACAAGCAGUGAGUGAAAGCAGCAUGCUUUUAAGGCCCUCAGUAUGGCAGACAGACUUCUGCACACAGCCCCAGGGAGGCAAGAGGGUUCAUUGGCCUAAAUAGCCCAUAUCCAGAAUGAACUAUUUCAUUACUCCUGUUUCAGACAUUUUCAUUUGUGUGAAGCUCGUCUAUCAAAAUGCCAUUUCCAUUGCUUUGGCAUUUGUAAUAUGGUCAGAUGCGGUUUGUUCAGUGAGGCACAUAUACAGAUUAUCAAACUUUGUGGAAUAGCAGAAGUUUAAAUGUAGGUUACAUUCAGGUUUCUGGCUUUUCUUCCUGCAAAGAAAAUCUAAUAAUAGCUCUAAAAUCACUGCUUCAAAUAGAAGAUAGCUGCACCUUCUGUAUCCUCAAAGCAUCGCUGUCUAUGUUUAGAAGGAAACCAAGAGAAAAAAAAAGGUGCUGUUGAAGAGACACUUAUAUCAGCACAACAAAAGGCACAUUGUGCAUCAAUCACCUUUAAAUCUAAAAGAGAUCAAAGGAAAUGGAGAAGAGAUAAGACAAGACUGCAUGUCAAGUCAACCUCAUAUAAGUAAGUGCUAAUCUAAUUUGCAAUUAUUUCCUAAACACGGCUAACAGCAAUGUGACAGAGCAAUCAAAGAACAAUAGCAUCGGUGUAGAUUAUAGCCAUCACUGAGUGCACUGAACCAAGCCGAGUAUGUUAAAGGCAUGGUUGACGAUUGGAGAGACAGGUAAUUAUCAUGAACCUCGUUUCUAUGGCGAUCAUGGUCCUAUAGUGUGAUCUCCACAAAGUGAAGAAAAAAAGAAUGGAAAAAAUGUGUUCACAUUGCAAAAACAUUGAUUAAUGGGAGCCAUCCGCCCAGGAUAGCUCCUAUUGGUCAAUCUCCUGCUCCGCCUCUCCAUCCAAUCACCUCGCUGUAUUUGACACACCCCUCUCCGUAGUUCCGACUUGUUCCCUCCCACUCUCCUGGCCCUCCUCAGAGCUCUGAGUGGCUAGAAGUAGCGUAGCAGCUGAGCUACAGAAGCUGUGAUGGAGAGGGACGAAAAAACACUCCUGCUUGCCCCGCCGACUAAAGUGCUGAGAAAAUGCAAGUAGACAGAAGAGAGAGUCAAAGAGGAAAUGCGACCAAGCGAGGAAUCUAAUGCGAAUAAACAUCGGGUCAUCCUUUGAGGAGUGGGGAAAGCUCCGCCAGGAUUUGGGCCUGAAAGGUCAUUUAUGCCUUUAAUUGUGGCACGUUACAUAAAUAACUCUUUUUAGUCUCUGCAAUGUCAACACGGUAGCUGUCCAGGCAGCUGCAGACGGUGCUCGCUAGUAGAGCUGGCGUUUACUGCCGCUAGUCACAAGCAAUGCAACACGGUGAAUCCUAUUUGAAGCUAGCGUAGGAUCUUUUACCAAUUGGCUUUUUGCUCUGCCAGAGAGGUUUUGUCAUGGAGAGGGCAAUACAAGUUUGGGGGUGGGGAGUUAUCGAGGAGCACAGAAGAAAGAGUUUUGUGUGGAAGAGCGGGAUGCUUUUUUUCAAAUCUGCCUCAAUGGCUCAGUUUUUUAACUGCUUCUCAGAUCAUCAACCAUGCCUUUAAGUAUCAGAGGAGCUAUAGGAAGUGCACAGUGCUAAAAACAGGAAAUCGCAAUAUCAGCUGUGUUUCAUUUCAGUGGCUUCAGCCUUAAGAGGGUCCAACCUUUAUGGCCUGUGUCGACUGGUCAGGCUGAACUGAGUUGAGUCGACUCUUUAGAGGGUUAAAUGGAUAUGUCGCCAGUCCUUCAUGCCCUUACACUGGACUCACACGGUGUCACCCCUGUCACUUUGCAAAGGGUGGCUACCAGGCUAACUAGUUAGCACAUCUAUCAUCUGUUUACUUUGACACCAGCAUAAAAAUUUCAAAGAUAAGCUCCAGAGUUAAAACCUGAUAGUAUUAUGUGCUUUACCCAGCAGUUUGGGUGUCUGUCAUCUUUCUUGUUUUGGUGCAGGAGUAGAAUAGAAUAGAAUAGGAUGAGAUGAUAUGCGAUGAGAUAGACUUUAUUGGUCCUUUUGGGAAGGUUCCCUCAAGGAAAUUAAAAUUCCAGUAGCAUCAGUAUCAGAGAAAUAACAGAAUGAGCUAAUAAGUAAGAAACAAAAAUACAAAAUAUAUAUAAAUAAUAAAGAUAUAAUAAAACUUCGGAUCAUUUUAGUAUUUACAAAAAGUAUUUAGUUUGCAAUAAGAUCACUGCCUUUAAUUUUAAAAUUCCUAAACAGUAGUCCAAGUACUAAGGAGUCAGGUUAGCAUUUCAUGUGCAUAUCUGGUUUGUAUCCAGAGAGUUGGAUGUUGGUAAACCAUACAGACUCCUAGGGGCAGACUAUUAUUUGAAUGGAAGAGUGACUUACAUUUACAGACGAUAUUGAUGUUGGUGCAGUGAUAUUUUGUGCUCUGUCAUGGUCAGUAAGUGUGAUAGGCCAAUGUUUUAGUCUGUUGGAUUAAAAUGGAGAAAAACGGAAAAUCUAAGUAUGUUUUAUAUAAUUUAACCUUGUUCUGUCGAUAAGCUAUGGGAAAAAUAUGAGAACAUUACGACUGACACUGGUAACCCUCUCCUGCUCUUUAUCUUUUCCACAUUCUCCCUCUCUCUUUCAUUAUCACACCAUCUCUGUGUGAAGCAAUUAACAGCUAGCAUCCUAGCAAACGUAGUCACAGCUAAUUUGCUCUGGUGUAAAUUAUCAGAGUGCUGUGCCUGCAAUUUUCAAAUGUUCCAUCUCCACACGUCAGGCUUCAGGUUUUCCUCACACACACUCAAACUGGCACAUAAACACACAUAAGGGUCAGAAUUAAAUGCUGGCUUUGAAUACAAGCGUUGAAUUCAAGGACUAAUUACCAAGCUAUGUCUAUUCAUGAGUGUGUUUAUGAUUCAUUUGGGUUUUUAUUGGUAUACAAAUAAUUCACAUUGCUUGGUUUUAGGCGUUGACAUAGAUGUAUGCAUACAGGAUACACCAUAAAAACUGAAACAGAUUCUGACUCAACUUUUAGGUCUCACAACUUCUCUAAAAGUCAGGCUGAAUUUCAGUUCAAUCGUCUGUUGUGUAUCAUGAACUGUAUGAGGGUCACAAGAUCGAAUCACAGCAUGAUCAGCUCUUCCUGACUAGUUCUAGCAUGUCUGAAAGCACCAUGGCAACACACUCAUGAUGUGAACUCAAAAUCAGCUAUUCAAACUGCCAAAUUACCAUAUAGGCAUGAUCGACCCAAUUUGCCAAUCCGAGCCUGGAAGGGAUGCAAUUAGUGACAUAUGAAUUGAUUCUGCAGACCUACAAUGGAUAACAUUAUUUUAGCAUUUGAGGUAGCAACAGAUAUGUAAAUGGACAGUUGCAUGCAGAGGAAAGAAAGGCACCUUUUUCAUCAAUGAUUGCUGUAAUAAAUCAUCCACCACAGAGAUUCAGCUGACGUUCCUUGGUUGUUUGCCAACAUGCUGAAGCUGUGCAUCUGUGUCAUCAACUUAAAUAAAGAACUGUGAUUGGGUCUGUACAUCUGCCAAAGACGGGUAAAUGCCCCCGGUCCAACAUGCCAACUAAAAUGAAUAUGAGCUGGCUGAUGGGUCUGGCAAUGCCAAGCUACCCAUAUGUAAUUACUAGAGGGGGAAAAGGUACAUACUGUUUUUUUAAUGCUCCAUAUCCUUGUGCUUACCCUUACCCUGAAAGACUCCAUCAUGUAAGGAAUCAUGAAUGUGUUUUUGUUUGCUACACUUUUCCUUUUUAUUUGAUAAAGUGUUCUCGCCAUUUCCAUAUUACUAAAGAGAAAUGGCAAGGUCAUAGCUUUUGAUUGGUGAGUGUGUCAAACUCAUCAUGAAAGAAAAAAAAUGCUCUCAGACUAUGAGAAUGUGUUAAAGGAGGCACAAAGUAGACACUUGGGUGCUAUCAUGAUAAAGGCCAACGUCAAUUGUCCUCUGUGCUGUCCCUUACACACUCCAUUGUAUCACACAUAGGGCGGUUACAUGAUCCAAGAUUAAGUCCCCACUAAAUUCUCUAGUCUUUGUAGUAAUCCUUUCUCUUAGACUGAGUAAAUCAUGUCAGGCUAGAUUAGCAUGAUUCAUUUAACAUUUUUAUACAGCUAAUUAAAUGGAACAGUGUCCUUUAUUUCACAUUAACCACUGAUAGAGUAUGGGAUUGGAAAGAACAGCCUCUAUGGGAGUCAUAGAAGAUAGGAUUGCAGGUCAUGGUGGUAAGCAGGCCAAAGACAAGGGUGAGGACAGACUGAAUCAAACUCACAAACUUUAGAUAUAUGGACCAAGCAGUUUUCAGCACGAGUACAAAUCACCACUCCAACUAAGUACUGACAAUGGUUAUUUAGUUUGGCAGAUAUACUGGUUUCAGUAGUCUAAAUUUACGCAAGAUACGGAUAGCAAUUUUGGUCUGCAGACCAAAGCAAUGACACACGGGUAGCUCGGCUUUUGUUUUAGAAAUAAGGUCUGUUUCUCUCUUACUGUCUCUACAUAACAAGCACAAGUAAAAUUAUUUGCGUGAAUUAAUUACAUGUUAAGUCAAUGCAAAGACUACUACUCUGGCGGCGUGAAUGACGCGAAUUAGGCGGUAGCUGAAAAUGUCUCACUUUGAGCGGAUAUUCGCGUCGCGAUAACUACUCGGCACAAAGGUUGCUGAGUGAUGUAUGAACAUGGAGGUUUGUUCACUGGUAUCUAAAAUGAAGGACAAACUGACCGUGUUGAUGUGUGGGUGCCCCGAAUUAUGCGAUACCUUUUCUUUCAAUUACUGAAACCAGAAUAAAAAGGAGCUCGUCUGGAGGAAUCUGCAGUUUGGAAAACUUAGAAACAAUGAAUAUUGAUUGGGAUAAAAUUCAACUAAAGGUUUUGAAAAAUCUGUUUUGUAACUAAUAUUGUGGGGAGGAAUAAUUUGCAUGUCCUCUAAAAUAAAAGGUCUAAAGGUAAAGAAACUUAGAUAUGCUGUGCUACAUUCACAAAAUCAGGUGAUCCUUUGAGACUGAUGGUAUGCACCACAAUGUUCUUGAACACCAUCGUUUAUUCCUUUUGCUGAUGGCUCAAAUAAAUCCUCUCUAUACUCCAUCAUCAUUCUAAUAGUUUCUCUUGCUGUCUAAGAACCGGUCAGUUCUGGCAGUAAAUGAUUUGAUUUGAUUUAAAAAAUAUAUAUUAAUCCCCAGUGGAGAAGCUCAUUCACCACCUUAUGAACUGAUACAAACAACAUGGACAGUGCAUUUAUAAUACACAACAAUAAAAUAAACAACACAAGAGAAAAAAUACAAUUGCAUUUGCACUCAAACAAAGACAAAAAAAUCAGAUUCGGACCAUAAACCUGAUGUUUUAAAACUUUGAGGUAACACCUUUACUGUUGUAUUUUCUGAGUAACAGUGGAACAUCAGGAUCAGUUAAGGGGUUCACACCAUCCUCCUGACAAUUCAGAAAGAAGGGCAGUUUCUAUAAAUGGCCAACCCAGAUGUCUGAAAACAGAGCUAAACAACCUAAAUCAGUGUCAGCAGACAAUUCAGUGGAGGUUAUUGUCUAGACAGUCAUGUGUGCAGCGCUGAUAUGUCAAAUACUGAACUGUCUAGAGGGUAUUGGCCUUUCACCUUCCUUUUCCAUGUUAGCUGCAGUGAUUGUCAGCUGAUAAUUGUCAUGCCUGGAUAUAAGACAAAGAGAUGUGUGAAUUAGAUGUUAAAAUGAUGAGAUACUGAUCUUUAUAAUAUUGCUCUGUGAAUGAAAGAGAGUUCAAAGCAGUAGAGAAUUUGUGUGAGCUUGACACAACCAGGCUGCCCUGCUAAUCUGCUAACAAGGUACACACAAAUCCUGCCGAAAAGUUUGUCACCAUUAUGUUCCCACCCGGGUAAUUAUCAAUUUUAACCAAAUAAUACUAGGCUACUUGUCUUAUAGUGCUGAUUUGUGUUAACUCACUACAAGAGGGCAACAGAGGCAGUGUUACCGAUGGGAAAUAUAAAAUGAUUGUACCAGAGACUCAAAAUUAUCGCAUUUUGGAGAAAAUUAUCGUACACUUGUCAUAAUCAAAGUUACAAUCUUACUUAUAGUAUCGUAUCUUAUAGUAUCUUAUAGUAUCUUAUAGAAUCGUAUCAUAUUUUAGCGUAUCUUAUAGUAUCGUAUCUUAUAGUAUCGUAUCGUAUCGUAUCGUAUCUUAUCAUAUCGUAACUUAUCUUAUCGUAUCUUAUAGUAUCGUAUCUUAUCGUAUCUUAUCUAAUCGUAUCUUAUACUAUCGUAUCGUAUCUUAUCGUAUCGUAUCAUAACUUAUCUUAUCGUAUCUUGUACUAUCGUAUUGUAUCUUAUCUAAUCGUAUCUUAUACUAUCAUAUCAUAUCUUAUCGUAUCGUAACUUAUCGUAUCUUAUAGUAUCGUAUCUUAUACUAUCGUAUCGUAUCUUAUCGUAUCGUAACUUAUCUUAUCGUAUCUUAUAGUAUCAUAUCUUAUCUUAUCGUGUCUUAUAGUAUCAUAUCUUAUCGUAUCUUAUAGUAUCGUAUCUUAUAGUAUCGUAUCUUAUCUUAUAGUAUCAUAUUGUAUCAUAUCUUAUCGUAUCUUAUCAUAGAAGUAACAUUAAAAGCGAUGUACAACAUAUGGCUAUUAUGUGGCAUCCUUCCAACAGAGAACUGUAUUUAACUUCUUCCAAAAAGUGUAUUGCGUUAAAACUGGUUGGAAUAAAUGAUGCGCUGUAUCAGAGUACAGAGAAUCAACCUUGCAGUUUUACAAUAAACUUAAGAUUAUUUCAGGAUAUGCCCUUUUUUUACACAUACAUUUUACGUGGAAAAAAUAUAUAUUGUAGGGCAUACCUAAAAUAGAAGUUUACAAAAGAUUACAGGUAAGAAACACUGCAACCUGACAUAUUGAGGAGGAAGCACUAUAUUUGCAAAAUUCUAGAAAUGUUGCCCACAUAUUUCAUCAAGCAGUUAAAAAUGAGCCUUUGCAGCCUUUUCCUGCUUCACAUUGAUUGUUAACCAGUUUUGUUAUGAUAGAUCCUUUUCAGUGAAUUCACCUUUACAAUUAUGCCCCCUGUUUUAACACUUCAUCCAACACAAUAAAGCCAGUUAGCAAACAUGCGAUGCAGGGGACUGCAGUAAAUAUAACUGUGUCUCAUUUGUCUCACUCAAGGACACUUUGACACAUGGACAGGAAUAGCCAUGACGGAUAGAAACAUCUGGGAGUGAGUCACAGCUACAGUUGGAUGUGUUAGCCUUUAAAUGCGAUUACGCGUUCAGAAUGAUAAUAAAUGAUGAGAAUGAUAAUUAAUAAACCAUUACACAAAAAUCAUUUUCUAAUCCUGGCUAUUUCAUCUAAAGUGCACAAUACUGAUGAUGAAGACAGUAUUUCACUAAGGUAAAGUGCUGCUGAUGUGCAGAGCCUCAGAAAUGCUUAUGCUGUAUUAUCUACCAGAGUGCAAAUCUCUAGAUGGGUGUCAACUUGAGGUCACUACCACUCAUUUGACCUUUGAACCCAAUUCUGCCCUGUGCAAUUCUCUGGAGAUUUGGCUUGUCCAGUUGAACCGCAUGUAUGUUUCUCCUGUCAAUCAAUUACCGGCCAAUCCCCUGCUCCUGUACUCACGAUUCAGCGCACUGGUGGAUUUUAAGUGCACUAUUUCACUCACAUGGUCCUGCUCCCCAGAGACAGCCAGCUGCGUCAUGAGAGAUGAUUUAAAGGGUUUGAAGAUAAGGCAGCUGCUGACGUUACAAGAUUACACAAGAUGACGAGAAAGUAUUGAACUGGGAGAAGUUUGGCCAUCUGACAUUGCUGUCCUCAGUCAUCUUGUAGACUUACCGAAUUUUGCAAAACGCCUCACCGGUGGCCGGCGCUAGCUACAAUAUAUAUACAAUCUAUGAUCUACACACUGUUUUAACAUGAUCCUCAUAAUCAGAGACAUCAUCCCCCACGCUGCCUUGUGCUGUCCUUCCCUCUAUGUGCAGCCAUGAGUGUGCACUAUUUGGAUGCCUAAAAUGUUUUGGUGCUGAUGCAUGGUUAGGUUCCUGCACUACAGAGAGAGAAAAGCACAGAACACUCCUUAAAGGGAUAUUCCGGCGUAAAAUAUAACACACCGUAACACCGACUUAGACACCCCCUCGAGAGAUGAAUGUUGCCGACCACUUACCUCUCUAGUUAUACCAACUUUAGUAAUGACAGCACGCUAGCAAUACACAGCGGUCUGAGGAGCCAUAAACAAACCUCAACCAAAACACCACUCUAUUGCCACAAAUAACAUUCAGAACAGCACCUAACUUCAUCAACAGUACAUAUAGGGUCCAAGUCGUAGUACUAGCCACCAAACAUCUUUUUAACUUUGCCUAAUUUCUUAAGCAAAGAGACUAAACACAACUCACCCACUCUCUUCCAGCAGCCGCUUGUUUGUAGCGAGACCUCGACCAGUCCAUUACGGACUGCAGCGGGAUGACACAGCUCAAGGAAGAACAUUUAUGAUCAUUUCUUCAUGAAAAUGCAAUCAGACCGAGACACUAAGGCAGAAGAACUACAGCGUCUGCAGUGCAAUAUUAUUAACAGGAUGAUUAUUACUGCAAGGAAAUGAUAAAGUAAUGAUCAUAAAUGUUCUUCCUUGAGCUGUGCCACCCCACAGCAGUCCCUAAUGGUCUGGUCAAGGUCUCACUACAAACAAGCGGCUGCUGGAAGAGAGUAGGUAAGUUGUGUUUAGUGUUUAGAAAUUAGGCAAAGCUAAAAAUAUGUUUGGUGGCUAGUGCUGUGGCUUGGACCCUAUAUGUACUGUUGAUGAAGUUAGGUGCUGUUCUGAGCAUUAUUUGUGGCUAUAGAGUGGCGUUUUUGUUGAGGUUUGUUUAUGGCUCCUCAGACCGCUGUGUAUUGCUAUUGUGCGGUCGUUACUAAAGUUGGUAUAACUAGAGAAGCAAGCGGUCGACAACAUUCAUCUCUAGAGGGGUUGUCUAACUCCAUUUUAAGCGGGAAUAUCCCUUUAAUGAUGGGAGUGGAUGACUUGAGUGAAUGAGCGAGUGAAUAUAAAGAGGUGAAACAGAGAUAGAAAACUGACACAGAUCUGAGUUUGUAGAGCUGUUUCAGCAGGGUUAACCUCAUGAAAUACAUCCUAAAUUGCUCUUUUUUUCAAGCACAUUUGCAUUCUCUUGAGUGCCACCCCAGUGCAAAAACAAAGACUGAGGAGGAUAAGACCUGUUAGUAGAGCAUAGUUAAUGAAACGAUUUGAAAAGGAUACGAAAAAUCUAGAGAAAAUGAAAAAGUAAAGAAGAAAAGAGGAUAAGAGAAGAGGGAGGCACAACAGAGGGUUAAAAAGCAAAAUGACCAUUUCCACCGUUCAUUAGCCAGGAAGAACAACCUUGGCAACCUUGCCUCAGUCCAGAAAAAGCUAUCCAUAUAUCGAGAGCAUUACAUGCUUGGUUAACUAGCUUCUCCAGCAGCAGUACCUGUCCGUCAGUGACAUGCAUCAUCAGUCUGGGCCGUCGUCAUUAUCAGCCUGAGACUGAUGUAUUCACAGCGCUGUAACUCUUAACAGCAGGGAGGUCAAAUAGUCUUGUUUGGCCUCUAAGGGUUAUAACCAGGUAAAACCAAUUAACUGGAGUCAUUUAAGCAUCAGCCAAGGCUGCUAAAAAUCCUUGAAAUCUGAUGGAAGAAGCUUCAUUGCUUCACUUAACCCAAAAUUCCUUGUGGCAGCCGCAUUAAAAGUAGCCCAACCCGUCAAGAUGCUAUAAACACCACUUGUCCCUGGAUCAAUAAAUAUGCUGCAAUGUCAUCAUCGGCUUCACCACACUGAUUAUCUGCUGAAAAAUCAAGUGACACUAUGUUGGAGGAUCCAGCAGGUAUUGCAAAAAUCAGCUAUUUCCAUGUGUUUUAUCAGAACAUGGGUUAUUCUUCCAACAAAAACAAAAUAGGCAAGGUCGAGGGAUCAGGUCACAACAGACUAGAACAGGGUGAACAGGACCCCUGUGCAGAUUUCUUGUAUCACCUUAAGACAUGGAACCUCUGACCCUAUAGCAACUUAAUAUUACAAAACUGAUAACUUAAUCAGCUGAUAAAUUAAUGCCAUAUCCUGAUCUGAAAUGAGUUUAUUUUAAAUCUUUGUCUCUAUUGAAAAUAGAGGUGGGGUUUGGCUUGUUAACUAUUAUACAUCCUCACCUUUCCAAACCAGUUGGUGUAGAUAAUGUCAACUUAAUUAAUACAGAAGAAAAAAAUGAAAAAACAAACAAAAAAGUUGAUCAAACGGGGGUGAUGGUUGCUGUCCCAAUCAACAAAUAAAAAUAACAAAAGGACGACUCUAAACAAGAGCUGUUAAGUCAAUCACUCAUCUACUAACAACCCUAUCAUCAAAUCAACAAACCCUGACCCAGUCCAAUGAUGAGUGCCCCUCACUCGACAAAUCUUUCAAUGUAGAGUUUAAUAAUCUGACAAUUAUUUCUAACGAGGCUCGGUAUAAUGCAGACUCUGACAGACAGAGAGCAGACGCUGAACAGCUUCUAAAUGGAGAACUCCCCUCUGAUAGGCACAGCUAAACCUCCUCGAUUGCCAAUCUGCUCCGGUUGACCUAAGGAGGCUGCCUGCCCUGGGGGACACACAACUCUGUCAGCCAUCACGAACACACACACAUAUACACACUUAAAUAUAUACACAGACACUACCAGAAAUUAAUGACACACCGGGAGAGUGCAGCAGAAGGCAUUACAUCAAAGCACAACCAGACAAACAAAAAAAGAAACAAACAAUAAAAAGGAAACAAGCAAAGUAGGAGAUAGAAAGAUAGAUAGAUAGAUAGAUAGAUAGAUAGAUAGAUAGAUAGAUAGAUAGAUAGAUAGAUAGAUAGAUAGAUAGAUAGAUAGAUAGAUAGAUAGAUAGAUAGAUAGAUAGAUAGAAAAAGGAAAGAAAAGAGAAAAAAGCAAAGUAGAAGAAAAAAGAAAGGAAAAGGAAACAAAAACAAAGAACAAAGAAAAAAGCAAAGAACAGGAUAGAUAGAUAGCUAGAUAGAUAGAUAGAUAGAUAGAUAGAUAGAUAGAUAGAUAGAUAGAUAGAUAGAUAGAUAGAUAGAUAGAUAGAUAGAUAGAUAGAUAGAUAGAUAGAUAGAUAGAUAGAUAGAAAAAGGAAAGAAAAGAGAAAAAAGCAAAGUAGAAGAAAAAAGAAAGGAAAAGGAAACACAAACAAAGAACAAAGAAAAAAGCAAAGAACAAGAAAGAAAGAAAGAAAGAUAGAAAAAAAGGAAAGAAACAAACAAACAAUGAACAAGGAAACAAGCAAAAAAGACGAAGUAAAGAAAGAAAAAAGAAACAAAGAAAAAGGAAGAAAGAAACAAACAAUGAACAAGGAAACAAGCAAAGUAGGACAAAAAAAGAAAGAGAGAAAGAAAGAAAGAAAGAAAGAAAGAAAGAAAGAAAGAAAGAAAGAAAGAAAGAAAGAAAGGAAGAAAGAAAGAAAAAAAAUAGACAAACAAACAAACAAUAAACAAGGAAACAAGAAAAAAAACAGGAAAGAAAGAAAAAGGAAAGAAAAAAACAAAGAACAAGGAAACAAGCAAAGUAGGACAAAGACUGAAAUAAAGAAAGAAACAAACAGACAAACAAACAAACAAUGAACAAAGAAACAGGCAAAAAAGAAGAAAGAAAGAAAUGAAGGCAGAAAGAACGAAAGUGGCAAAAAAAAAAGAAAAUAAAGAAAACAAAUUUACAAAAUAUGCAGCAGUGGUUUAGUAUAUUCUGCUAUAACACUUGAAUAUUCACUGUGAUAAAAACAAACAAACUAACUAAUUCUCAUUUUCAUCCAAUGACAGAGACCAAAUCUGAGGUUGCUGCCAAAAUUAACACUCCUGGCUAGAUAGGCAUCUCGCAGUACACAUCUCAGAUGCUGGAUGAUCGUCUGCUGUGAAGAUGGCCUCCCUCAUGCUACUGCAAGACUGUUAUCCAGAUUCAGCAGAACAACUCACAUCACCCCUAUUUCAUUUUCUUUUCAGAUUCAGAAUUAAUUUCAAGAUCCUUGUGUUAACUUAGAAAGCCACCCAUAAUCAAGCUCUAGUCUAUAUUUCUAAACUGCCACACCUUUACAUCACUAGCAGAUCCCUUAUGUCUUCUGACCAGGGUCUACUUGCUGUUCCUCAUGUCAAACUGAAAACAAAAAGGAGAUCGUGCCUUAAAACUUGUGACUCUGACUCUCUUGAAUUGUCUCACUAUCCAAGUAUGAGGCGCCUCCUCUUCUGACAUUUAAAAAAAGCAGCUUGAUCUGUUGAAAUUGGCUUUUUUUGAAUAAUUAUAAUUAUUCAUUCCAGUAGUAUUCACUAUAUAAAGCAGGUUUUCAUGAGUAUUUUAUCGCAUCAGUGAGUAAUUUUUAAUCCCAGAUUUCUGACAACAGCUGUGAAGCCAACAACCUUUCCAGAUGACUUCUUCUUAUAUGUCAGCAAUCAUUUUAUCAAAGCCUUUCAAACACCAGCUGUGGGACUAAUGUCUCCCCUAAUGUUUGCCUGUCUGCUUCCCCACUCUGCCCUACUUUCUGUGUUUUUGUUGUUUCAGUUUUCCGCUCUUUUCUUCUCUUCUUGUUCAGUCGACGCGCAAAGGGAGGCAGCCUGAAUGCCAAGCUGCGCGGUGUACAGAUGUGAGUUGACAGUAAUUUUUCUGUGAAGAUGAGGUGAAAUUUGACCAAAAAAAGGGGGAAGUUUGCUUUGAUGAAAAGACUAGAUGGGAAGGCAAUCAUAUCCAAUUUCACUAAUGAGGCUCUUCACCAGCAAUGGCAAGUAGGGCACACAGAAUAAAUGAACAUGUUCAGGUUAGAGAAAGUUGUAAAACUGUGGAGCGAUGGUAAAGAUGUUUUCUUUUUUCAAAAAUGGUUCUUAACUUUGAUGAGGUUUGGACAUGUAGAAACUGUAGUCAAAGAAAUGUCAAAUACUUGCCUGGUAAAAGAUGGACUACAAAUGUUUUCAAAUAUAAUAUUAACUGUUUUAUCAAUUUAACAAAACAGACAAGAAAUUAUUAUCCAAGAAGGUGCACAAAUAAUGACAGCAAAAGCUAACCAUACUUCCAAUACUGUGCUGGGGUUUGGGGCAACAACUAUAAAACAUCACUACACCCACUAACCACCAUUCAAAAAAGGGGAAUACGAGUUUAUGUGUGUACUGUAUUAAGUGGAUAUAGAUUUUGUUUUGUAAUACAAAGUCAUGAACGUACUUUAUGUAUCAUAAUUAUUAGGUAAUUUUAAACAAGUUGCAAGUUGGUGUGGGUACUUAUUAUUCAAAGGGAAGGGGUGGGAGUUCACAAGUUGUUCUUCUUCUCACUCCUUUUCAAAUAUGUAUUUCUAUGUUUUAUGUUUAAAUAUUUUGCCUUACUUUUCUUGUUUAUUUUUUAUAUUUUUGGUUUGCAUAUUCAAAAUAACCUUCAAUCAAUAAGAUUACUUUCUCUGUUUCAAGCUCAAACUCUUCCCAAAGGAAGGCUAGUCUUCAAUUAAAUUAAGACUACACUCACUUUUCUGACCUCUCUGAAGAGGGGAGAGCAUUUUAAAGUAAAGCAAACAGCUGCUGGUGAAUUGGAGGGAUCUUACUCCAUAGUUAUAGAUGCGAGUAAGCCAUUAGAUCACACAGCAAAUAUAAAAUCUACCUUUAAAAAACACAACUGCUACUAUUCACCUGGCCCGUUUCCCUAGACUUGUUGUUAUGUGGGUUAUAUUUAGCAUAUAAAGAUGCUAAAGACUUUUUUGUCUAACCUUAAAGAAGAAUGCAAAUGUGCAUGUAAAUUUUACUUGUCCAGACAGACAGCACUUUGUACUUCCAGCUUACACAACGACACCAACUACGAGAGCAUUUAUGUAACACAUGGUGGAUUAAUAUUUCAUGGACUUUAUGUCAUAUGUAAAACCAUUGCAUGUAAACGCUACACAAAGUCAAGCUGGAUGUUUGCAGCGCUAACAGAUCUUACUCCCAUAGAAACUUGUAAAUCACUGUCAUGUAUUCCUAUGAUGUUUCUAUAUAAAGAGGCAGUGCAUAGAGUGAGGAUAUUUAAGGAAAUCGAACAAACCUCUCCUGUCACUCAAGGCAACAGAGCAUCUUUACGCUACAAAGAUGGCUUCAUCCACAACAGAUGCAAGUAAUUCAGCUGUUUUAAGGAAAGAUAUGAAGAUGUUUUCAGUUAAUGUAAUUCAGUAGCUCUAGUAAAAUCAUUUUCUUAUGAGGAUGAAGUUGUAGCAUGCUUUAAUUACAAAAAUAACACUGUAAGAAAAUAAAGUCUCUUUAAUGAGAUAUAAGGCUUAGGUAACACUUUACAAUAACCAUAAUUUAUAAAUGGUAAAUAGAUAGUUUAUUAAUGUUUAAUCACCAUUAAAAAAUAACAUAUUGACCAAUUAUAAAUGCCAAAUACAUAGUUUAUUAAUGUAAAUUAAUAGUUACUUUACCAUUAACAAGCAAUGAAAUUAUGAUUAAUAAUUUUCAUUAAUUAUUAAUGGACUCUUUCUAAAAGGUUUAUAUAGAGUUUAAAGAUUGAUUGUAAAACUUAUAGAUUAAAAUGUGUGUCAGUAGCACUUUGUAAAUGGUUAAUAUUUGUUUUUUUAAACCAUCCGUAAACAUUACUUAGAUGGUUAUUGUAAAGUUGCAACUGAUGUUUGUAAUACUUUGUAAAUGAUUAAUAAGUGGUUUAUAAACCACCUAUAAACAUUACUUAGAUGGUUAUUGUAAAGUUAGGGUUAGGGUUAGGUUUUCAAAACUGUAAAAUUUACAGCUUAUUAAUUGUCUAUAUGCUAUUUAUAAAUGAUGAUUAAACAUUAAUAAACUAUUUGCUUACCAUUUAUAUAUGGUCUAUUUACCAUUUGUAAGUUAUGGUUAUUGUAAAGUGUUACCAAAGUUUAUAACAAACAUCAAGUUGGACAAAAGUUUGAAUUUUAUGUAAACAAAAUUAUCAUGUAAUGGGAACAGUGGUGAUAAUUGGUCGCUUCAGUUUAUGAUGAGCAGCCAGCUCUCCGUGCCAAACUGAGGAAACAUGGAGCAUCUUGCUGAAUUGUCUCUAAUGUUUUGUUUCCUUAUACAACAUUGGUAUAAGUAUCAGGACUUUGAAAAGACAAAAAGCUGAGACAACAAAACCACAUUAUGUAGCAAUUACAGUAUAGUUUGUUGAAGGACCGUGAGUUGUAUUACUGUAAGAGAAAAGAAACAAAUGAUGAGUUAGUGGCAAAAUGUCGCCUCAUAGUUAAAUCAUAUAAUACUGAGGAAGCAUUAUCAGUAUCUCUGAAAGAUCAUUCAGGCUUCAUUUUGUCACUUAGAAAAAACAAACAAGGUCAGCGCCAGUCUUUAUACAUGAAUUUGUAAUUAGGAUUGUCUGUCUCUGGGGGGUAACACUGACAUCAACCCUUAUUCUCUGUCAUUGCUUGUCCUGAUCUCUUUUUAAACAGGAUUGAGGAUUGUUCUCUAUAAAGCCUGACCAAAAUAAGAGCAAUUUAACUAUUGAGUUUUUAAAUAUGACAGUAGAAAUCAAGUUUAACAACUGUAGGAUCCAUUGCUGCCAUGGAGGGAUUAGGAUUUCUGUACUUGGUCUAUAUAAUAUAUCUAUAUAGAUGUGUUUGAGAAAUCUGAGGGUAAAAAGCACAGAUGAGCAUAGACCAGGGUGAUUACUUCAAAUUAAAUACCACUGUACUUUGUUAUCACCUUGAAAUAACAAGGAGGAGGACUCUUAAAAGGGCUAAUUGGGAGGGGCAGAGAUGUGAUAGAAAUUGCUGUUGGUGAGCUGUCAAUGUGUCAGCUGCAUUGUGACUGUGUGUGACGAGCAUUCAUGUCUCCGGUAAUUGAUUUUGACACCAUAGCAGGGAAAAUAUUCAAAAAUCGCUGCUUUCACAGUGGGUGGCUGUUGAGCUAUUUAAAUACAGCAGCAUAAUCAUCCGCUCGGAGGAUAAGAUGGAGGCUUUGUCUGAACCCAUGGAGGAAGCGCUUUUCUGUCUUGAAAGUCAGCUGAUUCGUCUAUUUAAUUUUACUUGACAAAGUCAUUUGCUGUCCAUUGUGUAGAUAAAAAAAGAUUAAUCAAAUCCGGACAUUACAUAAGGGAAACAAAAGUGCAUUGUUGCAUGAAGGGGGUGAUAUGUGCUUUGGCUUUGUACCUGACAAAGACAAAACCUCUCAACCUGUUCUUUUUGUUUCUUAACAAAAGCCUAAUUCUGGGAACUUUUGGUUCAAAGGUUUAUAUACAGCUUUUUUUCAGGUGUUAUAAACUGUGAAGUAUUUAAAGAUACAGUAUUAUCCUUCCAUCUGGACUGGAUCAAAAAUUUUAGCUAAAUUUCUGUGCUUGUAGGGGUAUGUCUUUGACCCUCAGUUUGGCAAAUUUUCACUUAACCAGGGCAGUGUGAGAAAUCUCAGCAAGGAAGACCAUCUGCAAGUACAAGCUAUUCUUGAUCUUCAGAUGCCAGAAACCAGGAAGCAGCUCCAUGGGCUCCUGGGCCUGUGUCAGCGUUAUUUAAGUCUCUGUUAAACAGUAGUCGUAAUCUUCAUCAGAUUAUUGAGUUUAGCUAUUAGAUAUGCCUAAAGUCAUGUGUGCCGGGAAUCAUUUGAUUUUGCAAGCCCUUCUCUAUAGUCGGCACAGGUAACUAAAUGAACCCUGUUUCCUUCUGAAGUGCAGUCUGAUGAAAGUGCUUUAAAUGCAGGUACUAGGGGAAAUGGCAAGGGCAUAGCUUAAUAGAAGUGGUGUAGCAAUUUUUUCAAAAUACAUGUCUGAAGGUUAGUAUUUGAUGAUAGUCUUAAAAUAUGACAUGCACUUGUUGUACUUUUAAUUGUGGGAAAAAGUAGUGAGUGAACAUGCGCUAACAUAUUACUCUACCUUAAAGGGAUAUUCCGGCAUAAAUUUAAUUUAGGGUCAAACACACCAUAACACUAAGUUAGACACCCUGUCGAGAGAUGAAUGUUGCCGACCACUUGCUUCUCUAGUUAUACUAACUUUAGUAACGACCGCACGAUAGCAAUACACCACAGUCACAGGAGCCAUAAACAAUCAUUACUUUAUCAUUUCCUUGGAGUAAUAAUCACUGUAUUUAUCAUUUUGCACUGCAGACGCGGUAGUUCCUCUGCCUUAGCCUCUCGGUCUGAUUGCAUUUCCAUGAAGAAAUUAUCAUAAAUGUUCUUCCUUGAGCUGGUGUGGUAAUGGACCUGCCUGAGGUCUCUGUAGAAACAAGCGGGUGAGUUGUGUUCAGUCUCCUUGCUAAAGAAAUUAGGCAAAGUUAAAAAGAUGUUUGGUGGCUAGUGCUAUGACUGGGACCCUUUAUGUACUGUUGAUGAAGUUAGGUGCUGUUCUGAGCGUUAUUUGUGACUAUAGAGUGUUUUUUUGGUUGAGGUUUGUGUAUGGCUCCUUAGACCGUUGUGUAUUGCUAUCGUGCAGUCAUUACUUAAGUUGCUAUAACUAGAGAAGCAAGCGGUCGGCAACAUUCAUCUCUCGACGGGGUGUCUAACUCUGUGUUGCAGUAUGUUUGACCCUACAUUAAUUUUACACCGGAAUACUCCUUUAACUGUGGUGUAGAGAUACAUUUGAAUAUGAAUUUGGAUGAAUUCAGGAUUACUGAUUCAAUUCUGGAGAGAUGGUAGAUUUUGCACAUUAUGCUAGUGUUACAUUAAUACUGUCAAUGUAAUAUUUGAAACCAUUUUGUUAUUUAAAUUCAUCUCAUUAUACUUGAUUACAGAAGUACACCUAUCUAUUGUACCUCCCUAUAUGUAUCUAAUGUGUUUGCCCACCUGGGUGUUAUUUAAGAGUCUUAACUACCUCAGCUUCAUUAUUAUGGUAAGAUAAAGUCUUUCGUUGCUUUUCCUUUUUGUAAAUUUAAUGGUUUUUGUGACUUGAGUCAAUUUGAAAAUCCUUUUGAUUUACUUUUGCUUUUUUAAAAUCAAAUGAGUAGCUCGACCUUUGUUAUUCAGACACUAAAAUGUCCAUACAAUAUUUUAUUGGUAGACCAUUUACAGUUAGAUGCAUGAGCGGGCCUGUGUAUGUGAAUAUUAUACAGUAAGUGACCCCUCUCGUCAGUAACCUUAAAAUCCUCUCAAGUGCGUUGUGCUCUUUCAUUUUCUGGUGCCAGAGGAGUCAGAUUAAGAGUGUGUCUGAACAUUUGGACUGCACAAUGACAUCACCACUGUAAAUGCCUUUAUCAGCAAAAAGCACAAACAUCCAUAUUGCAUGAAUAUCCAUAAGGGAUGAGUCGACACUUGUAUAGCUUACCAUGAUGAGUGCUGCACUGACAUUGACUCCUAUGAGUUUAGAAAAAAGUUAUUCCUCUGACUUUAUCAAAGUCUAUCAUUCAAAACUUGAUCAUUAUUAAUAUCAUAAAACCUUUAUUGCAUUGCUUUACUGUAGUUCUUGAUAGCUAACAUCAGUUAAGGCCUUCACAAUGUUACAGUGUCAUUUAUCCAUUUUACAUUUAAGCGCAAGAACAACAAAAGCAAAGAUCUAGACAAGAGAAAACAAGAUUAGUGAGAGCCAUUAAGUGCUUCAAGUCCACUUGGACACAGGUACUGUUAAGCAGUGUUAAAGGCAACGCACAAUGUGUAGAAAGGACUUUUUUUGUUUGUUUGUUUUUGAAUUAAAUACCCCCUCCGAUGAAAAUCUUGUUUUUCUUGUUGUCUACAUGUUCAUGACAUUUUUCUGAUGCUAGAGGACAUAUCUGACAGACCUAAACAGCAGAUUCAGACACACUGAGAUUUCCUACAUCACAAAUCCAAGCUCCGCCCCUAUAAACCUGCUAUGCAAAUGAGAGCCCUAGAAGUACAGAGAAUGAUUACGAUGUGGUAGCAUAUUACAAUACUUGUAAGAAAGCUUAUUAUGAUAUUAGCUUUCAUUAUGCCCCAAAGAUACUAGUGUCCGAGAGCUGAAUAGCUCCUAUACUACAUGCCACUUCUACUACACCAGCAAUGCUAGGCUACAAGCUAGCAUGAAGAGGAGGGUGCAGAGCCGCGCUGACUCAGAGGCAAAUUGCUAAUGAUCUACUGGAGCUCUGCAGAAGAAAAGCCCCUAAAAAUGACACAGGUAAUGUGAUUUUGGCUAAAAAUAUCAUAAUCAUAAUUUAAAGACCACUGAGAACACAACAAAAAACAAUUGGAGUGGGACUUUAAAGGGACCGCCCCCUGGAGGUGUUGCAUUCACAGCUUUGAUCCACAGAGAACAAAACCAGUAUCUGUUGGUUGAUAUUUUCCUCAUUAACAAGCUAGUAUGAAGCUUUUACUGAUAUUUAUCCCAUAUACUGUGCAUUUUAUUUGUGUGGUUUGUUUUAUUUUCCAAUUUCGCAAAGAUGUUAAUGGAGUAUUGUAAAAAUUUGAGUUUCCAGCGGCAAAUAUGCCUUUUUUCCCUUUUUUCUGACAUACCUAAGAGGAAAGUGUAAACUCAGCAGGCAUACCCAGAGAUCCAAAUUCAUUACAAGCACUGCAUUCAUUUCAAACCUGCAUUUAACCUUUUUAAAAGAUGUUUAAACUGUGCAUUUCCCUCAUAGUACAUAUGUCUCUUCCUAUUAUUUUCAGGAAACCCUAUUAGUGAGACACAGCCUGUUCUUUAUUAAGUGUCCUUCCAGAGUAGAUUCAUGCUGCGAUGAGUCCAGCUAAAUUACCCCCCUCCACACAAUCCAAUGACCUUCACCCAGUCAGAUUGAUCAGGAGCAAAAUGAGUCAUCUUCUCCAGAGUGACGAAGCGGGAGGAGCAGAAUGGCGAAAGGGGAGGGGAGAGCAGGUGCACAGGAGAGAAUGAUACAAGGACAGCUGUAGCUAUGUAGAAAAGGGAAUAAAACCCCCUCAUCCUUCUGCAAUGUUACGGCUGCUUUAUCGUGUAUCAGAGAGGACUGAGAUUCUCUCACGAAAAAACAAGUGAAUAAAUGGAGCAAUUCGUUAACAUAGGAAGGAUGGAAAUAUAAAGAGGAAGGAGAAGAAAGAAAGCUGACUGAAAGGUAACAAGAAAGGCAAAAAAGCUUUUCAAUAGCAAGUGUAUAACCCACAGUGGAUGCCAGUUAGCUAAUCUCCCUGAAUCAGAAGGUGACCAGAGAACCAGAACAGUCUAGGCCUUACACUGCAGCAGAUAGGGUAAAAUCUACCAUACGAUUGAACUAAUUUGAUCAAACUCCAACCAAAGUACAGUUGUCUUUGCUCUCAGAUAUGGCACAUGAGUACGUCUGCAGAGCACUCAUCAGCUGUUAGGGUUUACAAAAAGAUAACUAUGCUGAAAAUCUAAAUCUCUCUAAAAUCUAAACAAAAGAAUGAAAUAGUAACACAUUUGUUGUUGAAACAAGAGAACAGAUUCACUUGCAUGAGUUUACAGCAGAGUGAGACUAAAACUCUACCUAUGAAGUAUAAAGUUAAUUAAUUUAGGGUCAAACACACCGUAACACCGAGUUAGGCACCCCCUCGAGAGAUGAAUAUUACCGACUGCUUGUUUCUCUAGUUAUACCAACUUUAGUAACGACCGCAUGCUAGCAAUACACCGCGGUCUGAGGAGCCAUACACAAACCUCAACCAAAACGCCACUUUAUAGCCACAAAUAACAGCACCUAACUUCAUCAGCAGUACAUAUAGGGUCCCAGCCAUAGUACUAGCCACCAAACAUUUUAGCUUUGCCUGUUUUCUUUAGCAAAGAGACCAAACACAUAUCACCCACUCUCGACAAGCAGCCGCUUGUUUGUACGGAGACCUCAGACUAGUCCAUUACAGACUACAGCGGAGUGAAGCAGCUCAAGGAAGAACAUUUAUGAACACGUUACUAAAGUUGGUAUAACUAGAGAAGCUAGCCGUCGGUAACAUUCAUCUCUCAAGGGGUUGUCUAACUCGGUGUUAUGGUGUGUUUGUUUCUAAAUUAAUUUUACGCCGGAAUAUCCCUUUAAAGGCUCUGUGAGGUCUUCCCAUUUGAAUUCGGCUGCAGUGACACCUGUGGACAGAAUCUGUAUUUUUUUUCUGGAAUAAAGACAGCGUUUCCCAUGAGCCCCAUCACCCUCUGUCGUGAAGUCAUGACAUUUGUUUUGGAGGCCACUGAAUGGAGAACGGAUACUUAUUUAAACUGUUAUUGAGGGAGAACUUAAGUGAGAGUUCUUGGAGGUGGAGGAAAUAUCAAGACAACUGAGAGAACACGCAGUGAGGAUGGAGGACAAGGAUACACUGUUAAUCCGUUUUAGACUGGAGGGCUGUUCAUUUUGAGAAAUGCAUUGUCAGCAUGGAGCAAUGACUCCAACAAGUGCAAUGAUUGAUGGUAUGGGAAAUGUCUGCACCAGAAAACAUUUAAUAAGUGGCUAUAUUUUUUGACAAAGAGCCCUUUGCAGUGCAUGCCAGAUGGACACCGUUAGAGUCUACCUGCAGAGACAGCACUUUGUACUUCCAGCUUACACAAUGACACCCACUACUGGUGUUAUUUAUGUACCUCAUGGCUGAUUAAUAUUUCAUAGCAAUCUAUGUCAUAUAUCAGGGUUAUGUGUAGAAAUCAAUAUGCAGCAGCUGGUAGAAGGCUCACAAUAUCUCGUUGGUUGUUUAUUCCUCACAAUCCUUCAAACACAAGAGCCCAUUUUAAGCCUAAGUACUGAGGACCACUGUGUUUUUAUGUCCUUUUUUUCUGUCACUAAAAGCUGCUUCAGCAGAACAAAAGGGGGUGGUUACAUGCUGCCUAGCCCAACAAGGCUUUUUGGGGGGUCUGAGAGCUCAUGCUAGCAAACAGAGUGUAAUAUCUGAGUUUACAUCAAAAUAGUUUAUACACAAAAUUUAGGUAACAACUUACACUGUAUUUGAUCAGUUAAAUUUUCCCAUAUGUUUUUAGGUUUAGGUAGUUUCCUAUUUUGUUAUUUUAGACAGCCUAUAUAAGGCCAGAAUCAAGUUGUUGUUUUUGCAUUAAAUUAAAUGUAACUACACCUAUUAUUCCAUGCGCAUUACAAUCUAGCAUACUUGGUCAUCUGAGCACAGCUACACUUCUGGAUGAAUUUUUAGUUAAUUCAUGAUGUAGAAAAGAAAACAUCUAAGGUUGAGCCAGCUUCAUAACUAAAACUACAGGGGAAAUAUUAAACUGCAUUUUUCUAUACAUGAUCACAAUGGUAUCAGAGUUAAUGAACAAUAACAUAAAAACAGCUUCUCCAUGUCGUCCACAAGCUACUCACUAUGGCAGUAGACAACCACAUCUCUCCUUUUCUUUAUACACUGGUACUGCAAGGACAUCUUAUUAUGUAAUAAUGGACUCAUCGUUACAGUUUCUGGCAAACCUCAAAGUCUGGUAAGAUGAACAUUUGCCAUGCUGACUAAUAGCAUAUUUUUAGUAUGGUUUGCACAAAAUCAGCCAUUAUCCCAAAGCCCUUAUGGUGUAGGGUUGGUGAAAAUGAAUCAGCUGUUGGACUAGAGUUGGAUAGUCAUGUGUGGAAAAAGAAAAAGGUCUAGUUAUAGGUGGACUCAUACAUUUGGUUUGCUUGCAGAUGAAAUGCAGCCUUGCCCCAAGGGGAUGGGUGGAAAAUUACUGCAAGACAGGAUUGAACCAUCAGACCAAACAGCAAAACAUGAACACAGAAACAAAACCUGUAGAAACUAUCGCAUUGUCUGUCUUCAGUCUCUUCAUAUUGUGUUUUAUUAUGUAUGAAUACAUCUAAUAAGUGAGGGUGUUUUAAUUCUGAUAAUCACGGUGAACAGUUACAAAAAUCCAAAAAUAUUAGGAAAUUUACUUCUGAGUUUGAGUCAUAUGGUAUUCAAACACACAAACACCAUGUUCCCCUAUGAGUCUCUGCAACUAGUCCAGAGGACGAUCAUUAACGCCCCCUUCGAGAAGAGUAAACCACAGAGGAUGAAAUUGACUAUAAGCAUCUUUUUUUAAUCUUGCAAGCAGUUUUCAGCUUGUAUGUUAGCUCUCAGAGGGGUUCAUUAACUUGCCCUUGAAUAGUUAAUGUGACCAAUAACCUAGCUGACAUAUUCUACUGUUACUGGCAGGUUGAAGUGAGCUGUAUCAUGAUUGGUAAGAAGGCCAGGUCAGUAUUAUGCAAAAAAAAAAAAAACGUGAAAUGUGAAACAGCUGUGGAUUUCAUCAAAUUUUUAAGAGGCUAACCGCCAAAGGAAGCUAUGAUAUGCUAUUGAAGAGUUAACCAACAAAUGCUUUUGUAUGUUUGCUAUUUACUGUCUUGUCCUCUAGUUGUUUCUCUUCUAGGAAUUACUGGCGAAUGUUGUGCGAAUCUUCCACCCACUGUCACUGUUUUCAGUGGAACAGCCUUUGAAUAGGCCUACUGCCAAUUAAGAAGGACAGAAUGACAGAUUGAAGUGUGGUGUAAAAUAGUUUGACAUGUUGGCUGAAUCGUUGUGUGUGUGCAUGCACCCUCCCGUGCAUGUGUGUGUGUUUGUGUGUGUGUCCUUCAGUGCUACAAGGAGGGGUGUCAAGCCUUCAAUACAUGGACUGCUGGUACAAUUGUUUGCAAACUGCACAGAACAGACAGGACGAUCGGCACCAAGGGAGUAUGACACAGAUAUAUUGCACCAGGUUCAAAAGCCUCCCUAUGUGCUGCAUCUUUUACUUGCAAGCUCUAUAUUCCUCAGUGUUUUCCAUUGUCCCUGCAGGUACAGUGAUGUAAUGUUAAAGCACCAGUGAGGCUCAGGGUCCAGGAAGAUGCUAACUCUGCACAGGGUUUCCUCCAUCCCCCACAUAACAGCCGCCAACUUCUAUCAUCUCCCUCCCACUUUUUUUCUUCUUCUUCUCCCUGAAUGUUCUGCUCUGUCUCUGUGGAAUAAAAGCUCUUUAUGUGGGUGAGUGGUGGAAGAAACCCAGAAGGGUAUCUCAAGCCUUAACUCUCUCCACUGCAAGAUUCUUUCAGAAAGCUGUUAUAUGCUGCAUUUGCAGAUUCAUAAAACAUAUUCUGUAUGGUCCUUAAAAGCAAAAACACCACAUAUGCUUUCAAAUAUUAAAAAUAUGCCUUAACCACGCCAACAGAAAUUCAAUUAUUCAAGCAGCACAGGUCUUUUAAAAGCUAAAUAGGGUAUUCAGGCAAACUAAUUGAGAAACGUGUCUUGUACAGAUGUCAUUUCAGUCGCAAGACUAUUCACUACUAAAGAGUUAAACCACUGUGUGUAGAACCAUUUCAACCUGCUUAAAGGACCGAUAUAGAGACACCUAAAACACUUUUACACUUCAUGUCACAUUCACCUCUUUCAACCACAUUUUUACACCGAUCGCAGACGCUGCUAAAGCGCACAUCACAAAUUCCAUUUACCACCCACUGGCAAAUCCACUGGUGGCUUCUUUUAGGGUUAUUGUUUUGCUUUGUAUAGGGUGACCACAUUUCUGAAAUAAAAUAUAGAAGGGGGUACUGAGCCAAUUUUCAUUUUGGGGCCUUUAUUCCUGGAGAGCGGGGGGAUUCACCAUCAGUGUGAUCACAGACAACAACUCGCUACUACUUGGUAGUAAAGCGUGCCCCCUAUAACUGUUAUACUGUUGUUCAGGACUGCACACAACAUACUUACUUGCGCUUCCUACCUACCCAGCUACCAUAAUAACCAUUGUUCUGGUCUACAUGCAACAUUUUUAGCCCGGGCAGGUCAUCCAAAAGUUGACGUCUGGUCACCCUAACUAUCUUGUUAAAAGUGAUAGGAUCCAAAAUGCAGACAUAAUACUAUUCAGUGAAAAAAAAGAAGGUUUUUUGGGGUCCAAACUUAAAAUGUUCGCCACGAAAAAUGCAAAGGACCAGUCUUCUUCUUUUUCAUUAAAAAAAAAAGGUUUUUAGUUAACAUGGAAUCGUCUCAAGAAAUGUGUAUGUCCACACACAAACACUGACAAUGCAGUAGUAUAUUUAUGCCAGGCCUGUAAGUGGUGCUGUAACACUGCCACAAAAUACACCAAAACCAGAGAGAAAGACAUGGGGCAUGCACAUAAAACAUGUGCGAUGUAAACAAACUCACAAAGAAGAAGGGGUUGGCUCAUGCAGGUUAAGAGGAAAGAUGGGUUGUAAACACAGAGAUGCAAGCAUGGCGUCUCCAGAUCUGCUCACUAGGAGUUCAUACAGUCUCCCAAAGUGUUUGAUUCAUAUGGGCAAAAUUACCAUAUCAACUUUUGCAGAUACACCUCUGAAUGUGAUUCCGAGCCGAUCAAAAGUUUUACCAAAGCAAUAAUAAGCAUAACAUUUGGUGUGUGUUGAGAAGAAUAACAACUCAAUUCACAGCUGUACUGGACUGUUGUUCUCCAUGAAAUAACUACUUCAAACUUUGCAAAGUAAUCGUCUGUUUUUUAUUUUACAUUAAUAUUCUCAACAGAGUUUAACAAACACUUUACAACUUGUUUAAGCUGUGGCUAAGUACGGUUUUCUAACGUUGACAGAGCAAAGCUAGCUAACAAAGACAACACAAAAGCUCUCUACACAUGCAGUGAAACAGAGAAUUUUCAAUGCAGAAGAAAAUGUACUUUCUUGCUGAUGAUUAUUUGUGUAUUCAUUUAUUUAUUCAUCUUGGGGGUGGGGUGUAUAUUUUACAGAACAUACGUAGGACAAAGCAUAAAGAAUGGGUUAUUAUACCCAUGUGGCCUUAAGUAGAGGACGAUUCAUGGUCUAGUCUGCCGGGAACAAUGGAGUACAAGCUAAAUCAAUCAGUGACAUCCCCAACCAAACCCUCAUUAAGCCCUGUAGAUUUUUGCCAAGUCACAUAAUUAGACAAAUUAGAGUGUUUCAUCCUAUUAAGAUUUUUUGAGAAUGGAUGGCCCUAGAUGCAGCUAUAUUUAGCUAAAGCUAGAUGAAGGAGUCUUUCUGUGAAGUUUGACGGUCAUUAGAGAAGAAGAAGAAGAAGAAGAAGAAGAAGAAGAAGAAGCUAAAACCAAAAAAGGAGAAGUAAUCCAGGGUGAAAAGUGUUUUGUUCUUGACAUAUUUAGGUGGAGGUUUUAUCUUUGUGCAUUUUAGGGGUAUUAGCCGUGUCACUCAGAGCAUAAAGCAUUAAAGCAAUGACAACAACUGCUUUGCACACCAUGCUGUGCUUCAUGGAUUUAGAGCAGCAGCUUUGGAUGUCAUGCAGGGAGGAGGAAGAGGAGGAGGAGGAGGAGGCAGAUCCUGUCUUACUGCUCCACAAAGUUAUUGAUAGAGCGAAGACAAAAAUAGAACCUUACGGCCUCAUUGAUUGCAGGUAUUUUUGGGACGCCAAAGACAGUUGCUGAUCUUCCUUGUGCUGAGCCUGAGCUAUUUUCAGGCAGAUGUGUCUGUUUGAAUUCGGGAUUGGACUCACUUUCAACGUACAUCAAAUGCAAGGAGUCAAUAAAUAGAGUCCGAGCUAGCGUUCAAACUUCAACACAUAAUCAACCUAAAACAUCCUAUGUUGUUAGAAAUCAAGUCUUCAUCAAGCUCCUGCCACAGAGAGCUUCUGUGUCAGAGUUAGAAGGUGGCUGUGGUUCUAUGGUAAUGUCAUGACUAUCUGUAGGGGCUGAGAUCAAACCUCGGUUUGUUAUUUCCUUAUCACAUUUACUUUAAUUCUGAUUGGGUGGGUAUCACAGGUUAGUUGGUUUCAGUCUUACCUUCUUCAGCGAACCUAUGUAGUAACUGUGGGUAAUCACUCGGGCUGGGACAAUAUGCUUUUCUCCCGAUUCGAUUCUUCUACAAUUUUUUGGAUGCCGAUUCAAUUUAAAUUGCGAUUCUACGAUAUUGUCGAUUUCCUCGAUCUUUAGUCUGCAUUUUUAACACCAGUGAAACAGUUGAAUGAUUAUGAUUGUCUACUGACCUCUAAUAAUCACUUCUCUUUGACAACAAACAUUGCCUGUGGUGUAGCGCAAGGCUCAGUUUUAGGUCUGAUUUUUUUUUUUACUUUUAUUCUGCCUCUUGUCCAACUAAUGCAGCACCACAAAGUCUCCUUUUGUUGAUAUGCAGACGACACACAGAUAUACCUUCCUCUGAGACCCAAGGAACCUAAAAGCCUAGCUGCUGUUAGAGACUGUCUAAAUGGUGUAAACUGUUGGCUCAACAGUUUCUUCAACUAAAUGAUUUAAAAUCAGAUAUAAUAUUAUUCAACUUUAAAAAUUCCAACCAUGUCAUCAAGAGUAGCCUUGGUGCCCUGUCUGCCAAAAAUAAGUCUACACUUCAAGCUACUGAGAUGCUUGACCCAGAGUAACCUGGUUGAUGUGCCGCGCUACUGGUUUCACUACAUACAUUACCAUGAGUUUUUGAUGAUCAUUAAGAGUCUGGACGCAGUCCCUCAGAUGCAGCAAACAAAAAUUUAUUGUGAUCAACAUUGCCAAAGCUCAUGUGCAAUUACCAUCGAACAACACUGAGCAAACAAAGAAGGCUCCUACAGGAGUCAUAUUUGAUUAUAGCCAGCUUAAUCUUCGAGAUUAAGCUGAUUCUCUCCCACUCAGACCUUGAAAAUAUAAUCUAUGCACUCAACUUCUCUCGAUUUGACUACUGCAACUCACCCGUUACCAAAAUUUAUCAGAAAACACUAUCCCGCCUCCAACUAGUGCCGAUGGCAGCAGCUAGGUUUCUCACUGGUUACAACAGAGGGAAUCACAUCACUCCCAUUCUAGCCUCCCUACACUGACUUGCAUUUGUUUUACAAUUGAUUUUGAAGAUUUACUGAUCACCUUUUAAGCUUGUUUGGGUCUGGCCUGUGCCACAUAUCUGAAUUAUUAACUUACUACCUCUGAUAUGAGGUAGUUAGUAAUAACUACCGCAUACAAGAACAUGUAAAUCCACCUCAUCACUGGUUUUCAAAAUAAAAUUGGCAUCUGAUUGUAAGGCCUGUUUUGUGUGUACUUUUUUGUGUCUGAGUCUUUGUGGAAGGGCUGAUGAAUGGCAUUGAUUAGCAAUGAAGACAACAGUAGAGCCUUUAGAGCACCCUGCAGGAUUACAGGACAUUGCUAGCAUUAGCCACUCAGGCAGAAAAUCACUUUCAUAAAGUGGCACAGACUCUACACAAACACACACUCAUACAUACAAACACAUAUACACACAUAAAGAAAGCAAAAAAAGAGUGACUGAAGCCACACAAUUUAAAAAAAAUGGAUUAGUAAUUGUAUAAAAGUUAUGAUUGAGUUGAGGCUGUAUCAACAAAAAAGCACAUUUUUGAAAGCUGGAUUGGCUUUAGAUGUAACAAAGCAAUGGAUGGGUUUGCAAUGCACAAUGUGAGAGAGAAGUGAAGGUCACAUAUUUUGAUGCUGACUUCAAUGACAGUUGUUCUGUUAGUCCUGUUCUGAAAAUCAAUAUUUACUUUAAACAUUAAAUCUGCUGCAAAGGAGAAGGUCCUCAUGAUCCAAGGUCUAGUAAAAACAAACGCAAUCACCACGUCUACAUGCACAGGUAAGUCAAGCUACGGCCAUAACUGGAAUAGGCGAUUUAACUGGACAACUGUCCUUGUCCCGGUUUACAUGCACUGGGUAAGAAUCAAAUUACUGACAGAAACAUGUCCACCUCUGCUACGUUAAGUGGUCACAUGCCCCCUUUCAGCUUGUUACAUUGGGCCGUCUCCUGGUUGAUAUGUUACGAAUCAAAACAGCGAGCAAAAUGUGUCAGCAAGAUGCUAACCGGAUGCCACUUUGUGUCUUGUAUGCUAUAAAAGUUUUAUCUUUUUUAUGUUCUUUCAUCAUUUGUCAAGGUUUUGUCUACCUACAAAAGGGAACUAAAGACUUUUCUAUUUGUUAAGGCUUUUGCCUUACUGUCUUGGGGCUGCUAUGGUUGCCAUAGUGAUGUUUUGGCCUUUUAAAUUUUAGCUUUGUAUGUACUUAUUAACUGUGUAUUGUUUUUGUUUGUUUACUGUAAAGCACUUUGUCACCUUGGUCUGUGAAAGGCGCUGUAUAAAUAAAGUUUACUUACUUUCUUACUUUCUAUACAAAUAAAAAAAUUUAAUUGACUAAAUUAUAAAAUGCUCUUAUUGAAAUUAUGGCACUUGUCGUGUGUGAAAAAAAACAACAUUGGGCAUGUCCAGACAUGUGAAAUCAGUUCAGUAUAGAUGUCUGUGUGAGGGGUAUACUGACAAAGAAAGGCCCAGGGGACCACAACAAAAAAUAUUAUAAGAAAUAUUUUCAUGGAUAAUGAAGCCUAACAAGGUAACCUAGAGAUGAGAACCAAAUUGGAUGAUAGAGAAUUGUUUUUAGUGUAAUUUACAGCUGAUUGAAGACACGGGUCAAAACCAACCCUUAACAUGGUGGGUGCGUAGUAAAAGCUAA